ACAGCAGCCCAUCAGUCAACGGCCUUGGAUGCUUCCACAGCUGAUUUUUAAUUGAGAGCUUCAGAUGGAUUAUAGAGAGGGCUUAGAGGAACCACAGUCCGUGAGGCCCCCGGAGACUCUCUCAUCUCCUCCUCUAGCCGUUCUUUUCGCUGCCAAACAAAAGAGAAGGGGCCAGGUGGCACGUGGAGUCAGAAGGCAAAGUGGGAGUUGUUAAAGACAGAUUACUGCACCAAGGGUAGAGUUUGAUUGAGAGGUCAGGAGAGGACUCAGCCAUCAAAGGCAUCCAACUUGAAGACUAGAGAUACCCCCAGGGGCAAGGAAGUAUAUGCUUUGAUGGGGGUAAACCCUGAGUGGCUCCUACAACAGGAUUGAGAAGGGUAAUUUUGCAGGAGCUGUCCUGAGGGCUGGAUGAACUCCCUGGCCCUGCAGAAGAAACCACUGUCUGAUGCCUGUCUGCCUGCUUCCCAGUGGUCGCAGCUACUUUAAGAGGUGCCAUGUGGACUAGUCUUUCACCAGCCACCGUGGACUCUGGCAGAAGGUGCCAUCAUUACUGUUAAGAACUGCAUUUAGAAAUAAGCAGGAAGACUGGAGGGGUUAUUUUGAGCCUCAAAUAGUAUUAAGUUGGAACCUGAAUCUUCUGAAAUGACAGCCUGACUUCUGAGUGGCCGUGCUGAGGAUCUUGCUGCUCUCCGUCGGAGGGCAGCCUCCGUUUCCUGGUCACCGGAACAAGAUUUACUGAGCACGUGCUAUGUGUCUGUCGGGAGUGUGAAGCACUGGGGAGUCAAACAAGAAAGGCUGCUUGUUCAGCCCUCGAGCAACUCACACACCUGUUCCGGAAGCGCACACGGUGCCACGUGAUCUUACAAGAGAGGGCUCAAGGGACCACGACAGGCUCAGGCCAUUACCCAUGGAACUGGCCAGGGAGAGCCUACCUGUCAAAUUGGCUGGAAUGUGGCAAGAUAAACUCCUGGUGAGUCCUUCUGUGACACCCUAGGGCUUUGGUGACAGAGUUAAUUAAUCAAGACACCAAUGUCAAAAUUAAAGUGAGGAGGAAAAGUCAAUUAGUGAUUGAAUAGCUAUGAGGAGAC